rnacentral:hammerhead_ribozyme from 1 species
AUCCAGCUGAUGAGUUCCAAAUAGAACAAAACGGACGUUUUGGAU